CGUCUUCAGGGCAGGGUGUAAUUCCCGACCGGUGGUAAAGUCCACGAACUCGAGGCAUCGAGCUGAUCUGGUGAAAUUCCAGUACCGACAGUAAAGUCUGGAUGGAAGAAGAUU
rnacentral:ncRNA from 1 species